rnacentral:lncRNA from 1 species
CAGCCACUUCUCGAAGUCGAUGUCUGACAUCAUCUCAUUGUAGAUUUUGAGAUCAUCUUCAUAUAUUCUAUCGCCCAUAAGAAAUAUUUUCUCUAUUUUUUCUAUCAAAAUAUCUAAGUAUCUUUUAAGAAGAUAGAAAAUCCUACUUGAUCUAUGAUAUGGAAGAGGAAGUACAUGUAUUGGCUCAACGUGAAUAUGUUCUAUAGGUUCUAUGACUC